AAAAAUGCUGUAUUGUUGAACCAACGUUAAUAAUGAUCGCUGCUCAACAUGCUGAAGUGUGUAAAGUUGAGCAGUGGAACAAAAGAGAUAUUGAAGCAUUAUAUAUACACAGUGUCAUGCCUUGGCAACAUCUCUCUUCUUUUUGUCUAUAUUUUUAGAAUGCACCUUAUAUCAAUUCCAUGCUAUGCCUUUAAACUAUUUUCAUCUUUUGUGUAAACUUCAUAGUUUAUAAAAUUUUAUGAAUUUAUUUCACCUACUUUGUAUAUGUCUUGGUGCAUAUGUUUGUUACAUAACCUGUACCUCACCAACCAUCUGCUUUAAUUGAUACAAAGCCCUCUCCCCCUUCUGCCUCCAAUAUAUCUAAAAAAGAAAAAAAAUAAAUAAAUAAACAUUUCCUAUAUCCAAUGCCAUCCUGCUUCACUUCUUGUUUUAGUUUCUGGAUAUGAGCUCCUUGCAAGCUGCUCUCCCAAAUGCCUAGUUGUCUUCAAGCUUCCUUGGUGAUGUAUCUGAACCGUGGUUUCCCCAAAGUGCGUUGGCACCUUAUAUUCUAGCUGCAGGACAAGGUGGCUUAACAUACAUGGCAGCGUGAGUACCGAGCUCCCAAAUACCGAAUGUAUCAACACAGGGUUCUGUUGCAUCUGUUGGAGGAAAUCCUUUUGCAUAGGAUUUUGGUGGCAAUUAUCAUUGAUAAGUUGGUAGUACAAUAUUUCUAAGUUUUUGUUAUUAGUUGGUCUCAAUCCUAUAGGCUACAGAAUCAAAAUUAUUAUGGUGCGUUUUUUUUUUUUUUUUUUUUUUGGUCUCAAUCUGGAUUUUGGUGGCAAUUAUCAUCGAUAAGUUGGUAGUACAAUUUUCGUUUUUUUUUUUUUUUUUUCUUUUUCUACCAUGGUUAGUCCUUGAAGUCGAACACAAUGUGUUCGAUAAAAUGCGAAAGACAUGGAAAGGGGUGGGUUAUUGGUAAAUCUAAAAAAAUGUAUGCGAUUUUUAUUGGUAAAUCUACUUCUAAAAAAUUUUUAAAAAAUUUAAAACACAACAUGUCAUUACAAUAUAAAAUUAUUUAAACAUGAUAUACUGGUAAAUCUACUUCUAAAAAUCGAUCGAUAUACAACUUUUUCUUUUCUUGUGUUUUUAUAAAAGAUUCACCAUAUCUAGUAUCUAAUUAUUUGGCAAUAAAAAAUUUAAACGCUUCAGUUAUAGGAGAAACAAAAGUAAUUUUGCAAUAAUCCAAUUUGCAAGUUGUCUAUCAAACAUUUAAAUUUAUUAUAAUUUUUUUUUUAAGCUCACUUUUAACAAGUCCAUAAUCAAAUACUAAACAGGUUCUAGUACAAAAAGAGUGUAAACAUAAUUUUUCCUAAAAGAUGAAAAUAAUAAAUAAUGGAUCAUGUAGAGAAAACUCUGAAGAAAACAAUUUAGAUAAGGAUUUUUUUUUAUAUAUAUAUAAUUUUUUUGAUUGAGCAUGGUAGAAAAGGAAGGAAAAAUGAAUCCAACAAAUAUAACUCCAUUUUCUUUAAUGGUAUCAAGAAUAAUUCCAAGCUUGCCUUCAAUACGCUCACCUGUUCUGGGUUCAUAAGACAUAGCAUAAACAUCAGAUUCCUUUGAUCUCUCAGCGAUAACCUUCCAAUAACUCUGCAUGCAUUAUGAUCUGUAAGUGAAGGUAAAUUGUUCCUAAGAUCCUUUGCGUUUGUGGUAGCCACCGAUACCACUUUUCUUGUUCCCCGUGCAUCACCUUUGCAUGAAUAAAUUUUUUUGAAAAGAAAACAUUCAGCAAGAACAGCUUCAUAUACAUUUCUGUCCUCUGUUUCCAUGAUUACCUGUUAGGUUUGUU